AUUGAACGCUGGCGGCAGGCCUAACACAUGCAAGUCGAACGGUAACAGGAAGCAGCUUGCUGCUUCGCUGACGAGUGGCGGACGGGUGAGUAAUGUCUGGGAAGCUGCCUGAUGGAGGGGGAUAACUACUGGAAACGGUAGCUAAUACCGCAUAAUGUCGCAAGACCAAAGAGGGGGACCUUCGGGCCUCUUGCCAUCGGAUGUGCCCAGAUGGGAUUAGCUUGUUGGUGGGGUAACGGCUCACCAAGGCGACGAUCCCUAGCUGGUCUGAGAGGAUGACCAGCCACACUGGAACUGAGACACGGUUCAGACUCCUACGGGAGGCAGCAGUGGGGAAUAUUGCACAAUGGGCGCAAGCCUGAUGCAGCCAUGCCGCGUGUAUGAAGAAGGCCUUCGGGUUGUAAAAUACUUUCAGCGGGGAGGAAGGGAGUAAAGUUAAUACCUUUGCUCAUUGACGUUACCCGCAGAAGAAGCACCGGCUAACUCCGUG
rnacentral:rRNA from 1 species